GUGCCAGCAGCCGCGGUAAUACGGAAGGUCCUGGCGUUAUCCGGAUUUAUUGGGUUUAAAGGGAGCGCAGGCCGGAGAUUAAGCGUGACGUGAAAUGCCGCGGCUCAACCGUGGAAGUGCGUCGCGAACUGGUUUCCUUGAGUGAGUUCGACGCCGGCGGAAUUCGUGGUGUAGCGGUGAAAUGCUUAGAUAUCACGAAGAACCCCGAUUGCGAAGGCAGCCGGCGAGGCCUUUACUGACGCUAAAGCUCGAAGGUGCGGGUAUCGAACAGGAUUAGAUACCCUGGUAGUCCGCACGGUAAACGAUGGAUGCCCGCUGUAUGCGAUACAAUGUAUGCGGCCAAGCGAAAGCGUUAAGCAUCCCACCUGGGGAGUACGCCGGCAACGGUGAAACUCAAGGGAAUUGACGGGGGCCCGCACAAGCGGAGGAACAUGUGGUUUAAUUCGAUGAUACGCGAGGAACCUUACCCGGGCUUGAACUGCAGCGGAAGGAUUGAGAGAUCAUGACGUCAGCAAUGACCGCUGUGGAGGUGCUGCAUGGUUGUCGUCAGCUCGUGCCGUGAGGUGUCGGCUUAAGUGCCAUAACGAGCGCAACCCCUGCUGUCAGUUGCCAUCAGGUUAUGCUGGGCACUCUGGCGGUACUGCCACCGUAAGGUGUGAGGAAGGUGGGGAUGACGUCAAAUCAGCACGGCCCUUACGUCCGGGGCUACACACGUGUUACAAUGGGGUGUACAGAGAGUCGUGUGCAUGCAAAUGCGCACCAAUCAUGAAAGCAUCCCUCAGUUCGGAUUGGGGUCUGCAACCCGACCCCAUGAAGCUGGAUUCGCUAGUAAUCGCGCAUCAGCCAUGGCGCGGUGAAUACGUUCCCGGGCCUUGUACACACCGCCCGU
rnacentral:rRNA from 1 species